rnacentral:rRNA from 1 species
AGGACGAACGCUGGCGGCGUGCCUAACACAUGCAAGUCGAACGGAGCCCGCAAGGGUUCAGUGGCGAACGGGUGCGUAACACGUGAGGAACUUGUCCAUCGGCGGGGGAUAGCCGGCCCAACGGCCGGGUAAUACCGCGUACGCCGUCCGGAGCGCAUGCUCUGGCCGGGAAAGCAGCAAUGCACCGAUGGAGAGCCUCGCGGCCUAUCAGCUAGUUGGUGGGGUAAUGGCCUACCAAGGCGACGACGGGUAGCUGGUCUGAGAGGAUGACCAGCCACAUUGGGACUGAGACACGGCCCAGACUCCUACGGGAGGCAGCAGUGGGGAAUAUUGCGCAAUGGGCGAAAGCCUGACGCAGCGACGCCGCGUGUGGGAUGACGGCCUUCGGGUUGUAACCACUGUCGCGAGGGACGAAGGAUCUGACGGUACCUCGAAAGGAAGCACCGGCUAACUCUGUGCCAGCAGCCGC